rnacentral:misc_RNA from 1 species
UUAAAAAGUAUGUUACUAUAGAUAUGAACUUGUAAUAAGCUUAAUUAGGAAUUAAUAAAAAGUUGGUGUUUUUAACGGGGGUAAAGCUGAGUUCAGCGUAAUAUUUUUACGUUAGGCAGCGAUAAUUAUUUUUUUCCUAUUAUAAAAAGUGCAACAGCAGAAGCUUAGUAUUCGACGCUCAUAGGCCGCCUAAUUAGCAUAAAACAGAAGUACACCAAUAAUAAUCAUUUUUCAUUCCGUCUCCGUUGAAGGGAGAUGAAUAGCUGGUAUUGCAACUGUCUUACAAGGGAAAUGUUAAUGUUUUGUAGGAGAAUCCAAAAUUUCUUAUAAAGGAUCGUAAAGUGUUCAUUUGUAUGCAUAAACUUUAUAUAUAUAUUACUAUAUUAACUUCUUGUCUAUAACUCGUUCUUGUCUUAUUUUGAAUCCUCUAUCUUUUUGUUUUCUCUUUCUUUAUUCCUUUGUUUGUUUCUUUUUCUUUCUUUCUUUCUUUUUCUUAGCUUGAACUAUUCUAAAAUUUUGCUUUUCUUUCUUAUUUCCUUAUUCUUUAUACAAACACCCACAUACGUACAAUUCCCACCUUAUAUCUUUCUAACUUUCAUCCAUCCCUUUUCCUGGCCCCUUCCUUCCUCUCAUCUACAUUUCCCAACUCCCACCCUGAUACUUUCAAUCACCGCAUUUUUAUUUCUCUUUUGUCUUUUCGUCUUUCUUCUUUUCUUUUCCAGACGAUAAUUUUCUCUAAUCAAAACAUUCUCCCCCUUUUUACUUACAGAGAUGAAAGGCAGACUAGAGAGGCAGCAUAUCUAAAUCGUCAAAUGGAAACGGCAAUCGGUAGCGGAAGAGACGCCUUUUACGGUCCGCACCUCUUCGGUAGCCAAUUCCGACCGCCAUUCUGCAAUGUCACAUCUUCCCUUUAUCCUUCACAUCCACUAAAGCAGCUACAAAAGGCUGUUCAGAAUGGAUUACAACAUCAGCUGCCUAAAUUAACCCCACCAAUUGUAAAAGAAGAGGAGGAAAGAGAGGAAAACUUUGACGCAAACUCUACUUGUUCCUAUGUCGCGUCUACGUCCGGUGAAAGUUGUACAAGUGACACCCCGCCCACUCCUCCACUUUCUAGUCAGGACAAGGACAUAUUCUUUUGCCACCUUUGCACUUGGUCAGGCAGUUCGAAAGACUCAUUCGAUGAGCACAUGACGUCGCAUUUUGAACAUAAAUGCCCUCAAUGCGACUAUACGUCGAGGACAGAGGGUCGUUUAAAGAGGCAUAUUAAGGACUUUCAUAGUGAGGACCCAGCCUCUAAUCCAAAAGUCAGUUGUCGACCAAAAAUUUACAAGUGUAAACAAUGCGACUUUCAAACGGCUAUCAAAGUGGAUUUUUGGGACCAUUCAAAAGCUCAUAUAAAAUCAGAAAAGAUGUUACAAUGUCCGAGAUGUCCUUUUGUGACCGAGUACAAACAUCAUUUAGAAUAUCACCUGCGGAAUCAUUUCGGUUCGAAGCCGUUCAAGUGCGAAAAAUGUAAUUAUUCGUGCGUCAACAAAUCGAUGCUAAAUUCCCAUAUGAAAUCGCAUACGAACGUCUACCAAUAUAGAUGCUCAGAUUGCCAUUAUGCCACAAAGUACUGCCACUCUCUGAAACUUCAUUUGAAGAAAUACGAUCACAAACCGGCUACUGUAUUAAACCCGGAUGGUUCACUUCCUACCGAUGGUUCAGGAGAUUUUGAGUUAGUAUCGAAACGGGGGCCACCAAGAGGACCCAGAACGACUGGAAGAUCAUCAGCCAACGGCAUUCAUCAUCAAAGUCCAUAUCCUCCUCCCCAACAAAAUAAUCAACAACAACAUCAUCAGCAACAACCAACGCAACAACCGCCACAAACCCCCACAUCGUUGUCCCUACCACCACCACCCACUCCAACAACUGUACACCAACAGCAGCCGGUCACCUCAAAACCAAUCCCUACCUCUCUUCCUUUACCAGUUUUACCUCCUUCUGCUCUGGGCCUACCACCGUCUUAUUGGGGUCUAUUAGGAGCGGCCGCUUCUCCAUUCCAACCGCCUCCACCGUUAGUGCCGGCGGUCUCACUCGUCCAACAGUCGCUGCCAACGGGAUCCAUCCUAGGCUCGAGCUCGCCGAAGAGAUUCGUAGCUGUGGAUUUGGCUGCUCAAAUUGAAUCUGAAAGUGAUUCUAAGAAAAAGGAGACGCCACCUCUCAAGUUAGAGAGUAUAUCACCGCCCAAUAGUCGUCCGACUUCUCCGCUCGAUCUUUCCAAAUCGCCAAGUUUACCUCCAUUGGCAACCCCUACCGGCGCUCGUAAGCGAAAAGGUAAGGCCUACAAAUUGGACACUCAAGUGUUAAACGCUCAUCCACAAGAGUCAGAGGUAGUUGCCUCUCCAAAACGCAAGAGCGUUAAACAAGAAUGUCCAAAAGAGGGAGAAGGCGUAGCUGAUGAAAACAUUGAAGAUUGGGAUACCAAAUUUGAGUGCGCUCAUUGCGCCAUAACGUUCAUUGAUUGCAUCCUCUAUACAAUGCACAUGGGCUAUCACAGUCAAAACGAACCUUUCAAGUGCAAUAUGUGCGGUCAAAUAGCCGCCAAUAAAGUCGAAUUCAACUUGCAUAUUGCCAGAGCAUCGCAUGUUUGAAUAAAUGUUCUUUAUUCUUUUCUUUAUUCUUAAUUUUGUUUUUUCAACUUUAAAAAAAAGGUGUAAAAUUUUAUGCAAAGUCAGAAAAAAACAAAUAAUUCUUCUUGUUGUUGUUAUGUUCUAAAUGUUCUUUUUUUUCGUAUACUUGUUUUUUCAUCGUCUUGUAUAACGAAACAAAAAAAAGAGAAAAGAAGUUAUAAAAGAAAAAAGAAAGAAAUCUUCUCUUGCCCUAUCUUUACAAAUGCUCAACAGAUGACAAUAAAGUUGUAACGGAUACAUACACAUAAUGAUAGUUGACUAACUUUUAAGUAUGCGUAUGUAUUCAAGAAAGUUACAUAUAUACAUAUAUAUAAAUAUAUAUAUAUAUAUAUAUAUCUUGUAUGUGAAUUGCAGUUUGUGUAUGUUCUUCGUAUCAUAUAUAUUCUAAUAGCAAGCUAAUGUUACCUAUUUUUUAUUUGUUGUUUAUUUCUUUUUCGUGUAUGCCAUAUAUGUUUUAUUAAUCCCAAGUCAUUAUUAUCAACAAAAAAAAAACAGAAUAGGCAAUGUAGUCCUACCUCGAUGUGCUUAAACACUAUCUAUUGCCUUUUUUAAAUGUAAAUUAGCUUAUUCAUUCCCUUUUUGUCAGUACCAAUAAGUUAAAGAAGGAACGAGAAUUUUUCUCUGUGAAAUUAUAUAAAAUAUAUAAACUUUAGUAAUAUUUAAUAAAGUAAAUAACUAUCAAAAAUAAAUUAACUACCAAAAGAUAAAGAAAAACUCAGGAAAAGAGCAUUUUUUGUUCUUCUUUUAUUUUUGUUUCCUUUUCACCAUUUCAGGGUUUUUAUUCUUGUUUUAGCUCAUUUUCACACUUAGUAAACAAAUAAAUAAAUAUUAUGUAUGUGUGUCUGUAUACUCUCUAUAUGUUCAUUAAAUGCCAGAACCAUGUAUGUAAAAUAUUGUACAUGUGCCUAUGCGGUAUGCUUGUCAUUUAAAACAGGGAGAAAAAGAUGUCUAUUCUCUUCCUUCUGUUAUUUUAUUCUUUUAUCAGUAAAUUUUCUCUUUAAGCUUUUAUCAGAUUGUAUGAAACCUUUUUCCGCUCGUUUUAUUCCUUUUUCUAUGCGUUAAUAAAUAAUAUAAAAUUAUUGAGCUGAGGUAUAUGUAUUGAUCAGAUCUAGUCUAUUAGGCCAAAAAAACAUACCAAGUUCCUUAUUCAAGCAAUUUAGAUUUCUUAACCUUACACUUGUUUAAUGUUCCUGGUAGAGUGUGGAAUUGAUUAUUUAUCAAGUGAAUUUCUAUAAAUGCUAUAUGACGAAUAGCUAUUCAGUGUAAAAUAAUGAGAAAUUGGAUCUUAUCAGUAGUUAUCUCAAGUAUAUUUAUUUCUACAAUAUAUGGAAAUUGUAAUGGAAUAACCAGUUGCUCAGUUUCAACAAAGAAGCCAAAAAGAGUUACCAAAAUAAUUCAAAUUCAUAACGAAAGUAGCUCUUCAUCAAUUUCGAUAUAUUUCAUCCCGAUACCAAUAGUAAUUAUAGGAGCUGGAGUUGCAGCUGUCUGUUGUAUAAGGAAGAGGUCGAGACAUAAUUUUUGUACUACAACUGAAAAUGAAAGUCAGGAAGUUAAUAUGAAUAAUUCAGUUAGAACGCUCCCGGACGUACCAGAAGAAGACCAUGUGAGUCGUCACAUCUACAUCGAAAUAGAGGAAGGACCUGACAGAACUCCAAUUGAAACCAAUCGAACUAAUUGUGAAGUUGAGACUUAGAAUUUUGUUGAUAAAAAGAAGAACAAACGAUCAUCAUUCAUCAUAGUGUUUCGGAAAGACUACAAGUUUUCGCCUUGUUUAUAAAAACUACAAAUUUUACAUUAAUCAUCUGUCUCAAAGUAGGUACAUAAGACAUAUAGUAUAUUAUCUUCUCGAAUGCUAUAAAAAAACAGCUACAAUAUGGCUUAUCAGGCUGAUGGAGACAAUGAAGAUGCUGUGUUAAGUUAAUGUAUUCUGAAUUUAAAUAUCGUAAAUAUGUUUAUGUGUUAUAUAGUUUUCUAAGCUUGUCUUACUUGAAGUUUCUUGUUGUACGUGUACGUAUCAGCAGAUGGCGCUCUAUGUCAAGCAGGAUUUCCAAAACUUCGUUACAACUAAUAGAAAAAUGUGGUCAAUAUCCAUAAUAACCUAAUUUCUAGUCUGUAAAUACAAAUCAAGUAAAUGAAUAUUUAUGAGAUAUUGUGUUUAAAAUAAGAGAAAAAGCUAUUUUAACCAAUCGCAUACUUGAAACAAUAUCAAAUUACGCUAAAAAACUAUGAUAAAAAAGUGUGUAACACAUUGACACAUCUUCUUAACAUUUUUAAAAUACUAUGAAGAAAUCGUAAGUUAUUGACACGUGGCAAUAACUUCGAGUGACUCUUAUCAAUGAACAAGAUUCAAAAAUCGGCUAAUUUGCUUUUCUACUCAACAUCAGUUCUAGAUGAACGACGCCCCUAUCGUUCUAUUGUAAAAUAUCAUUCCUAAUUUUGGUGGUACAAUGGACGCUUGAACGCAUAAAUAGUUUCUUUUUUUUUUUCAAGCAAAUAAAAAAAAAGAGAAAAAAAAGGAAAUGGAAUUUAAGAGGAACUGGGGAAUACUUUUGAAGUAUCAACGACUUUCAUUGUCCAAUUAUAGAAAUUCCAUCUUGUUGUAAAAGUUCAUAAAAAAGUAACAAUUUUCUUAAUUAUAAGAAAAGGAAACACAGACAUAAAAUAAGAUAGAAAACUAAUGAUAGGAGUUAAUUAAAACAAAAAUAGGAGAGUUAUAUAUAGAAUUAAUCUUCUAUUAUCGCCACUAAUAAUAAAAAAGUUCUUUGGGAUUAUUAUUGUUAUUAUCUACUCCUAUUCUAAUAUAAAUUGAAGCUUUUCGUGCUUUUUAAUUUUAUCAAUCGAAAUAGGAAAUUACCUGAAAUUCGCUUUUUCAUUCUUC